GAGUAGCUGGGAUCACAGGCAUCUGCCACCAUGCCCGGCUAAUUUUUGUAUUUUUAGUAGAGACGGGGUUUCGCCAUGUUGGUCAGGUUGGUCUCGAACUCCUGACCUCAGGUGAUCCACCUGCCUUGGCUUCCCAAAGUGCUGAGAUUACAGGCUUGAGCCACCGCGCCCGGCCUUAAAAGCUGUUUUUUAUUUUUGUGACACCAAUAAACUGGAAUGUGGCAGAUAAGUUAUGUAAAACCAAAAAGAUAACAGAGAAUUUCUUUUUUUUUUUUUAACUUUCAUUUUAGGUUUGGGGGUACGUGUGAAGGUUGGUUACAUAGGUAAACGUGUCAUGAGGGUUUGUUUUACAUAUUAUUUCAUCACCCAGGUAUUAAGCUCAGUACCCCUUAGUUAUCGUUUGUGCUUCUCUCCCUCCCCACCCCGUCCCCCAGAAGGCUUAAUUUCUCUAGAUUUUUUUAAAACUAAAUUUCAUAAUCCAGAAGAAUGAGGUUUUACAGUUAGAAUGGAAAUAAUGCUACUAAAUACAAAAACAAAAUACAUACUUAAUACCCAACUGACAGACUGUGUUCUGUGUUCUAUUUGUAUUUUAAAUCUAUAUAAGUGUUUAGAGACUUAUGAAGUAAAUAUUUUGGUUUUUGCAGGACUUCUGUAGACAAGACAGAUACUGUAAAGACAGCAAAGAACAAACAGAAUGGCAGAUUGCUAAUGUUUGAUCCAAACGAAAAAGUGAUGAUUGAAUCAAACGAAGCAAUGUCAGAGUAAGAAGAUGUCUUUGAUUGUGCAGCUGAUCUCUCCCAUGCCUUUUAAGCAAUUAGAACUAGAUAAUGCAGCCAUUUGUCACCCAAUUAAAUUUGAAAGGCCAGAAAUGCAUGGAUUAGCACUUCAGCUUUUGCUGCAGUCAAAGCAAUUGUUACUAUAGAUAGAAGGACAGUUAAAAUGAAAAAUGAAUUUUGAUAAAAAUGCAGAAGUAUAGAUAAUAUUCACUUCUACUUUUUAAUGCUUAAACACCCUGUAUUCUGUAUUUUACUUGUAUCAUAAUUUUCAUUGCUCAUUCCUAUUUCCCUUUGAUACUUAUUUCUUUCACAAUAUUUCUUCAAGUGAAUAUGUACUUUAAAAUUAACAAAUUAUUUACUAUAACAUGAAUUGUUACUACUCAAUAAAGAAAGUAAUCACCUCAACUAGUUGAAGAAA
rnacentral:lncRNA from 1 species